rnacentral:lncRNA from 1 species
GUGCUCACCUGUAGCCACGUCCGCAGCUGGUGCUUCCAGUGUGGCCAUCGACCGCGGUUGGUAUGGUUCCUCGUAUCCUAGGAUUUUGAAAGGCGGUGGAGGGAUAGUAGGCCCCAAGGAUCAACUGCAGCAAGGAGGAGGCGUGGUGAUUGACCUGCAAGGUGCCGUUGUUGUAGGUGUCCGUGCAAUUGAUUUGGGCGUGGAUAUCGUCUCCCGCAGCUUGCUUGGAUCCAGCUUGAGUGUUAUCCCCAAGUGCGCAGGCUAGGCACAUCGUCGGUAUUCCCGCUCGAGGUAGCCGGCAACAUCGUCGUCAUCCUCCACGGCGUCAACAAUCUCCGAAGUUCGAAGUCCGACCUGCAG